AUACGGAGGGUGCAAGCGUUAUUCGGAAUCACUGGGCGUAAAGGACGCGUAGGCGGGUUGGCAAGUCAGAUGUGAAAUCCUACAGCUUAACUGUAGAACUGCAUUUGAAACUGCUAACCUAGAGUAUGGGAGGGGGAGAUGGAAUUAGUGGUGUAGGGGUAAAAUCCGUAGAUAUCACUAGGAAUACCGAAAGCGAAGGUGAUCUCCUGGAACAUAACUGACGCUAAGGCGUGAAAGCGUGGGGAGCAAACAGGAGUAGAUACCCUAGUAGUCC
rnacentral:rRNA from 1 species